GACGAACGCUGGCGGCGUGCCUAAUACAUGCAAGUAGGACGCAGUUGCGAACGGGUGAGUAACGCGUCGGUAACUGCCUAUUAGAGGGGGAUAACUAUUGGAAACGAUAGCUAAUACCGCAUACUAGUAGAUGGACCUGCGUUGUAUUAGCUAGUAGGUAGGGUAAUGGCCUACCUAGGCGACGAUACAUAGCCGACCGGAGAGGGUGAUCGGCCAAAUCGGGACUUAGAACCGGCCCCGAGUCCUACGGGAGGCAGCAGUAGGGAAUCUUCGGCAAUGGGGGGAACGCUGACCGAGCAACGCCGCGUGAGUGGAGAAGGUUUUCGGGUCGUAAAGCUCUGUUGUUAAGGAAGCGGUACUUAACCAGAAAGGGCCGGCUAACUACGUGCCAGCCGCCGCGGUAAUAC
rnacentral:rRNA from 1 species